rnacentral:lncRNA from 1 species
UCAGAUCUGCCGCCGCCGCCUCAUCCUCCGCCACCUGACCGACCUCCUCCACGCCGCCGAUUUCAGAGGACCGGAUCUCCUCCACCGCCGCCGCCUCAUCCUCUACUCCGACGAAGUCUGCCCAAGCCGCGAGAGCUCCGACGAAUUCUUCAAGCUCGGCGCCGCUGGAGAGAGAGAGAGAGGGAGAUGAGAAAGAGAGAGGAGAGAGAGAGAAGGGUAGAAUAGUCAUGACAUACAAAAAAUGGCCAAAAUUUAUGUUUUUUUUAAAUGGUGGACAAAAUUUGAUGUUGUAUGUUGAAUAGGGUCAUUUGGCCCUAUUGUUUGUUUUUUUUAUUUAAUCAAGCUCUUAUAUAAAUGUAUAUGUAUAUUAUUAUAUCUACAGAUUUAUUUAACAUUAUGAAAAUAAAAUGAUCUCCACGCAUAUUGCGUGAGUGGUAGACUAGUUAGUGCAAAAAGUAUCACCCAAACUCGUGCCCAACCUCAUUUGAUCCGUCCAAAUUAAAGGUAAUACAAUUUAAAAUUAUAAAAAAUGAUCAAAAUUUGUAUUUUUACGAUGAAUGGCUAAAUAUUGAGUUCCAACCCCCAAUAUAGCUAUAGGAAUGAAUAUUCUCUUUUAUAAAUAUUGAAUUUCAUUUACACGACAUGUACUUUUCAAGUUAAAAUCCCUCCACUUAACCUGUACUCCCUCUGUCCAUGAAAAAGUGUCAUACUUACCUUUUUUGUCCACAAAAAAGUAUCUUGUUUACCUUUUUGUACAUCCAUCCUUUAUUUUUCAACUUAUUUACAACUUAUGCCAUUAAUGAAUCCACUAUUUUAUUUAGCUCAUGCAAUUAGCACUAAUCCUACUCUCUAACUUUUAUCCACUUAAAAUAAUUUUAUCAGUUUUUUUAAUACUCGUGCCGACAUUCAAAUGGGUCAUUUUUUUGUGGACGGAUGGAGUAAUUAAUAUUAGACCUAAAUUCAAAGACUAACCUUUUUUUAGGGGAAUUCAAAGACUAACUUGACUUACCUCUUGAGCAUCCAUUUUCUUACUUAGGCUAUUUAUUCGUCUUAAAAUUCACCCAAUUUUAAUCGAUUUAGUUUUAAUUUGUAAUUGCCCACCUUAAGUUUCUUGAAUUAAAAUAUGGAUAAGAAAACAAAUGCCACAAAUUCUUCAGUACACUCGAAUGCACAAUGCAAAUAAUAGUCGAAAAAAAAAUAUGGUGAUUGUGGGACCCAUAGCUACGACCUUGUGAAUACAAAACAAGCAGCUGAGCAUUUAGCUCAACCGAUGUUUAUCUUUAUCCCCCGGCCAAUGCCAUUAAAACACAUGAGAUGAGAGUAGCUCAACAAAUACAUGUCCCACAAAAAUGAGAUUAUUUUGGCUAAAAUAAAAUUUAGCAUUGCAAUUAAUGAAAAUCAAAAUGGAGUAGUAAAACUUUAUCCAAGAAAUUGUUGUUCCGUGUGAAUGAUUAUAGCAUGAAAGAAAAAUGGGAGAGGAGAGGAGAGGAGAGGGGUCAUUAAAUGAAGCCAGCAAGAGAAAAACAAAGGGCCUGAUGAUGAUGCAUCAAAAUCUGUGAGAAGUCAGCAUCUAAGUUUCAGAGGUAAUUAUAAGUUAGUUAGUGGUCACUUCAAUGUGCCAGACAGACAUGCAAACAUCACAAAUGCCCUGCUUUCUCAACUUCCAAUCCCUUCUAAUUUUAUUUUCAAAUACUCUCCAUGCAAUUAUUCACAUUAUUUAUUUCAUCUGCCAAGUCACAAAUUAUAUCAUUCAAUUUUGGGGCUUAAUUCUUCCCCUCUUCUUAUAUUAUAUGUGUACUAUACCCAAAAAGGAGAAUAUAUGCAAUAGUCAAAAUACGUAUAUCAAGAAUGGCACCAGUUGUGUAUUAUUUUCCAUUCUAGCUAACUUUUGUAUGAAAAACUGAAAAGUAAAAAAAAUUAUAUAGAUGACAAAGGUAAACUAGGAAGUUUGGUAUCAUUUUAUUAUGGCACUUUGAAUUAGGAUACUUAUUCAUGGAACAAAUUUAUUUCUACAUAGAAAAUUUAUUUGAGGAUGGAGGUAGAAUAUAUAAAAAAAACAAGGAAAUGAAAUAUGAAGAAUAUAGUUUGUUUUGGUCGUACGUUGUUAUGGGCAUCCCUUCUAAAAGAGUAAAGAAGCUAUUAGUACCAAAAUUUUGUGACUGAUAUCUGAAUUUCAAUUUCAGGUCCACUUGAAACUUUUGUUAUUUUAUGUCCCUUAAACUUCUUUCUAGGGGAGGAUGUCACAUAUUUUAAUUAAAGUUAUUUGUGUAUUUGAUGAGUGAAGAACGAGUUCCACAAAAAGUGAAGAUUGUAAGAGUAAUAUAUAGUUAGUUAAAUUGUUUUUAAAAAUAAGUUAGGAAGAUGUUUUGAAUCACAAAUCAAAAAUAGAAAGCACUAGUAUCGAUAACUUGUGUUAUUAACAUACGUCUUUGUGAAUAGUAGGUCGUGUCGUGACUCUUAUAAAUUAAAACAUCACAUGUUAAUUACUAGCUAGAUAAUGAUAGUCCUACCUAUAUAUCCAUUCCAUGCACCUACUACCAAUUAUAUUUAAGCAACUAAUUAUUGUUGCCUAAGAUAAUCCCUUAUCCCCGACAUAUCACACUCUCAACUACUAUUCUUUGAUAAUACCCUCCUCUAAUCUUGGCACUAAAACCAAUCGCCAAAACAACAAAAAUGCUAACAUUUUGCUACAUAUGCAUGCACAUUAGAUGUUCUAUUCCAACUUCAUCAAAUUAGCUAACAUCAUAAACAUAAAAGGAUUAAGAAUAGUUUAUUGUCCCAAUUUUGGAAUCUUUCCUAACAACUACAUGAAUUUUUGUUUAUUUUCUAAAAACUUCAAACUUUAAAGAAAGUUGCCGCAACCGAAAACUAGUUGUUGGAAAAGCUGAAUUACUCCCUCCGUUUUUUUAUAAGUGUCCCAUUCAGCUCAUUUUUUGUUUCUUAAUAAGUGUCCCAUUUCAAAAUUUGAGAGUAUAUUUAUGACAAUUUUCCUAUUUUAUCCUUAUUUAAUACUUGUAUGAAUAUAAUAAUUAGUUGUAUAUAUGUAUUUAUUAUGAUAAUUACUAAGGUUACAAAUGUAAAAUAUCUUAUUUUAUUGGUAUGUGUAUUUUGACGGCUGGGGACACUUAAUAAAAAUCGGAGGGAGUAUCUAUCUAGUUUGAUUUUCGUGUGUAAUAUUCAUGUUCAAAACAAACUCAUUCAAGGCCGUGAGCAUGAUAAGAAUAUUCGCACAAGAAUCUUUGUGAGCUGAUUUAACUUUUCGAUGUUAAAUCCUCGAUAUGAUCGAGGUAAAUGGAAACUUUCUGCAAAGUAUGGGCUUUUAUAAAAAGUUAUGGAAGUUUCAAAUUUUGAAAAGGGCUCCAAAAUUCGGAUCAUAUACUUUAUUUAAUUAACUCCAAAGUAAAUUUUGACAUUUUGCAUAAACAACAAAAAAAUACCGAACAUAUUAAGGAACAUAUGUCCCAUUGGUCCUUGGAUAAGUGUUUUAUAUGAAAAUAAAACUUCAUUUCAUCUCUAAUAACUGUCAUAUUUUCAUAAUUCUAUAGUUUUAUGAUGUCAAACUUCUCCCAUCAUAUCUUUAUCCUCAAAGCACAUUACCUUUUCGAUUUUCUAUUAAAUAAUUAGUGGUAAGAUCUACAAAGAGUAACUAGCCGACUUCCUUGGUAUAUGAACUUUGACAGUUGUGGACACUAAGACAAUAUAAUUUUACUUUUUUUACGUAUAUUUAUUGCUUGAAAAAUCGAUAAAAUCUAUACAGAAUUUGUAUUAUACUUUACCAUAAAAUUCUAAAAAAAUUAUUCGAAGACAAAAUUUACUUAUUCGAGAAUGAAUGUACAUAUACUAACUAGAAACCUCUAAGACUGGAGACAUGUAUCUUUGCACGCAUCAUAUCCCAACACGAGACGCUCCUAAAUUAUUGCAAACACACAUAUUUGAUGGUUGAAAUAAUUUGUAUAAAUUUCAGCUUAUCCCUUGAGGAGUAGGGGUGGGGUUAAGGCCAGUUCAUGAGUUAGAAAUGAGAGAAUGACUAAACCAAUAAUUUUGGGAGUGAGCACAUGCAUCUCCACUCUCUACACACACUUUUUUAUCUCAUGCAGCGGUCCAUAAUUGAUUAUGACAUUAUUAUUAUUAUUAUUAUUAUUAUUAUUAUUAUUAUUAUUAUUAUUAUUAUUAUUAUUAUUAUUAUUAUUAUUAUUAUUAUUAUUAUUAUUAUUCACAAAAUUGGCUUCAAAGUCAGCCAUCCAAGCCAGCUGCAUGCUUCUUUUUUUUUUUUUUUUUUUGUAGGAAAAAAAAGAAUACAGCUUGAGAUUCUACCUUUCCGUGGGCCGGGUCGGGCCGGGCCCUACUGAUAGGGUUGUGGCUCCAUUCAUGUGGACAAAGUCUAGUAGGGUUUUAGUGUUAGGGCUGCUGGCUGUUCCAAAAUUUAAGGCUUAUGUUAAAUUCUUGUUUUUUCCCCUCUUUUGUCUUUUGCCCUUUCAAAUUAGGAGCUCGUGUUUUGAUUUUCGCUCAAAGGAAGCAUAAAUUAAUAUUUCUCCUUCACGUUGUUGCCAGUUGGAAUAUAUUGGCUUUAAUUUUAAUUAUAUUAUCAUGUUUUAUACUUCGGUUUGAGGUGGAUUAUUGGACACCACAGACACUGUGGAUCACACAUGCUUAUAUUCUCUUUUAUUUGAUUGGAUUUGAAGCUUUUACUUGAGAUCAAUUUGAAUUCUAUUAGGAAUCCACAGAUAUUAGGAUUACUUUUUAGGAGUUGCCAUGUUCGGAAUCUAUCAACAAUGAUUGGAUUUCAAGCUUUAUCCUGAAAUCGGAUUGGAAAUCGAUAGAUCUUAAGUUUAUCUUUUAGGAGUUGCCAAGUUCCG